AUUUCUAGAAUUGUCUUAUUUCUACCCAAGUUAUGUAUUAGAGUCAAAAACUAAUUCCCUUCUGCUUUGUACAUACAGCAAUCAGACAGUGUUCUGAUUUUAGAGUGACAAAAAUCUGUGCUUUGUGAACAUCUUGCCAGAAAUGAGCGACCCCAAGUAUGCCUAUCCUUACCCUGCUCAAGGGUAUUAUCAAGGUCCUCCUGUGAUGGCACCGCCACAAUAUGCUGCUCCACCGCCCAGAAGAGAUACUGGAUUCCUUGAGGGAUGUCUUGCAGCUCUGUGUUGUUGUUGCCUCUUAGAUGAGUGCUGCUGUGACCCCUCG